rnacentral:rRNA from 1 species
GGUUAAGCGACUAAGCGUACACGGUGGAUGCCCUGGCAGUCAGAGGCGAUGAAGGACGUGCUAAUCUGCGAUAAGCGUCGGUAAGGUGAUAUGAACCGUUAUAACCGGCGAUUUCCGAAUGGGGAAACCCAGUGUGUUUCGACACACUAUCAUUAACUGAAUCCAUAGGUUAAUGAGGCGAACCGGGGGAACUGAAACAUCUAAGUACCCCGAGGAAAAGAAAUCAACCGAGAUUCCCCCAGUAGCGGCGAGCGAACGGGGAGCAGCCCAGAGCCUGAAUCAGUGUGUGUGUUAGUGGAAGCGUCUGGAAAGGCGCGCGAUACAGGGUGACAGCCCCGUACACAAAAAUGCACAUGCUGUGAGCUCGAUGAGUAGGGCGGGACACGUGGUAUCCUGUCUGAAUAUGGGGGGACCAUCCUCCAAGGCUAAAUACUCCUGACUGACCGAUAGUGAACCAGUACCGUGAGGGAAAGGCGAAAAGAACCCCGGCGAGGGGAGUGAAAAAGAACCUGAAACCGUGUACGUACAAGCAGUGGGAGCCUCUCUUUAUGGGGGGUGACUGCGUACCUUUUGUAUAAUGGGUCAGCGACUUAUAUUCUGUAGCAAGGUUAACCGAAUAGGGGAGCCGAAGGGAAACCGAGUCUUAACUGGGCGUUAAGUUGCAGGGUAUAGACCCGAAACCCGGUGAUCUAGCCAUGGGCAGGUUGAAGGUUGGGUAACACUAACUGGAGGACCGAACCGACUAAUGUUGAAAAAUUAGCGGAUGACUUGUGGCUGGGGGUGAAAGGCCAAUCAAACCGGGAGAUAGCUGGUUCUCCCCGAAAGCUAUUUAGGUAGCGCCUCGUGAAUUCAUCUCCGGGGGUAGAGCACUGUUUCGGCAAGGGGGUCAUCCCGACUUACCAACCCGAUGCAAACUGCGAAUACCGGAGAAUGUUAUCACGGGAGACACACGGCGGGUGCUAACGUCCGUCGUGAAGAGGGAAACAACCCAGACCGCCAGCUAAGGUCCCAAAGUCAUGGUUAAGUGGGAAACGAUGUGGGAAGGCCCAGACAGCCAGGAUGUUGGCUUAGAAGCAGCCAUCAUUUAAAGAAAGCGUAAUAGCUCACUGGUCGAGUCGGCCUGCGCGGAAGAUGUAACGGGGCUAAACCAUGCACCGAAGCUGCGGCAGCGACGCUUAUGCGUUGUUGGGUAGGGGAGCGUUCUGUAAGCCUGUGAAGGUGUGCUGUGAGGCAUGCUGGAGGUAUCAGAAGUGCGAAUGCUGACAUAAGUAACGAUAAAGCGGGUGAAAAGCCCGCUCGCCGGAAGACCAAGGGUUCCUGUCCAACGUUAAUCGGGGCAGGGUGAGUCGACCCCUAAGGCGAGGCCGAAAGGCGUAGUCGAUGGGAAACAGGUUAAUAUUCCUGUACUUGGUGUUACUGCGAAGGGGGGACGGAGAAGGCUAUGUUGGCCGGGCGACGGUUGUCCCGGUUUAAGCGUGUAGGCUGGUUUUCCAGGCAAAUCCGGAAAAUCAAGGCUGAGGCGUGAUGACGAGGCACUACGGUGCUGAAGCAACAAAUGCCCUGCUUCCAGGAAAAGCCUCUAAGCAUCAGGUAACAUCAAAUCGUACCCCAAACCGACACAGGUGGUCAGGUAGAGAAUACCAAGGCGCUUGAGAGAACUCGGGUGAAGGAACUAGGCAAAAUGGUGCCGUAACUUCGGGAGAAGGCACGCUGAUAUGUAGGUGAAGUCCCUCGCGGAUGGAGCUGAAAUCAGUCGAAGAUACCAGCUGGCUGCAACUGUUUAUUAAAAACACAGCACUGUGCAAACACGAAAGUGGACGUAUACGGUGUGACGCCUGCCCGGUGCCGGAAGGUUAAUUGAUGGGGUUAGCGCAAGCGAAGCUCUUGAUCGAAGCCCCGGUAAACGGCGGCCGUAACUAUAACGGUCCUAAGGUAGCGAAAUUCCUUGUCGGGUAAGUUCCGACCUGCACGAAUGGCGUAAUGAUGGCCAGGCUGUCUCCACCCGAGACUCAGUGAAAUUGAACUCGCUGUGAAGAUGCAGUGUACCCGCGGCAAGACGGAAAGACCCCGUGAACCUUUACUAUAGCUUGACACUGAACAUUGAGCCUUGAUGUGUAGGAUAGGUGGGAGGCUUUGAAGUGUGGACGCCAGUCUGCAUGGAGCCGACCUUGAAAUACCACCCUUUAAUGUUUGAUGUUCUAACGU